rnacentral:rRNA from 1 species
UACGUAGGGUGCAAGCGUUGUCCGGAAUUAUUGGGCGUAAAGAGCUCGUAGGCGGUCUGUCGCGUCUGCCGUGAAAGUCCGGGGCUCAACUCCGGAUCUGCGGUGGGUACGGGCAGACUAGAGUGAUGUAGGGGAGACUGGAAUUCCAGGUGUAGCGGUGAAAUGCGCAGAGUAUCAGGAGGAACACCGGUGGCGAAGGCGGAUCUCUGGGCCAUUACUGACGCUGAGGAGCGAAAGCGUGGGGAGCGAACAGG